rnacentral:rRNA from 1 species
UUAAAGNCAUUGGCUCAACCAAUGUAUGCUUUGGAAACUGUUAGACUUGAGCGCAGAAGGGGAGAGUGGAAUUCCAUGUGUAGCGGUGAAAUGCGUAGAUAUAUGGAGGAACACCGGUGGCGAAAGCGGCUCUCUGGUCUGUCACUGACGCUGAGGCUCGAAAGCGUGGGUAGCGGACAGGAUUAGAUACCCUGGUAGUNCACGCCGUAAACGCUGAGUGCUAGGUGUUAGGUCCUUUCCGGGACUUAGUGGCGACGCUAACGCAUUAAGCACUCCGCCUGGGGAGUACGACCGCAAGGUUGAAACUCAAAGGAAUUGACGGGGGCCCGCACAAGCGGUGGAGCAUGUGGUUUAAUUCGAAGCAACGCGAAGAACCUUACCAGGUCUUGACAUCCCGAUGCCCGCUCUAGAGAUAGAGUUUUUCUUCGGAACAUCGGAGACAGGUGGUGCAUGGUUGUCGUCAGCUCGUGUCGUGAGAUGUUGGGUUAAGUCCCGCAACGAGCGCAACCCUUAUUGUUAGUUGCCAUCAUUAAGUUGGGCACUCUAGCGAGACUGCCGGUAAUAAACCGGAGGAAGGUGGGGAUGACGUCAAAUCAUCAUGCCCCUUAUGACCUGGGCUACACACGUGCUACAAUGGUUGGUACAACGAGUCGCAAGCCGGUGACGGCAAGCUAAUCUCUGAAAGCCAAUCUCAGUUCGGAUUGUAGGCUGCAACUCGCCUACAUGAAGUCGGAAUCGCUAGUAAUCGCGGAUCAGCACGCCGCGGUGAAUACGUUCCCGGGCCUUGUACACACCGCCCGUCACACCACGAGAGUUUGUAACACCCAAAGUCGGUGAGGUAACCAUUUAUGGGGCCAGCCGCCUAAGGUGGGAUGGA